rnacentral:ribozyme from 12 species
AGAAAGAAAUGAAGAAGAUAAAAGCAAAAAAGGCAAGAAAAGUCUCGCGUUGCAAGCUCUCAAUCAAAACGUCCUCAUUUGGGCAGGCUUCUUUUCCGUUUCGUUGCUUGUCUAUUCGCUUCU